UACAGAGGAGCCAAGCGUUGUCCGGAUUGACUGGGCGUAAAGCGCACGCAGGCGGUUGCGCGCGUGGGGUGUGAAAUCUGGCCGCUUAACGGCCAGGCGCCAUCCCAUACGGCGCGACUGGAGUGAUGCAGAGGUCGAUGGAAUUGCCGGUGUAGUGGUGAAAUGCGUAGAGAUCGGCAGGAACACCCAGGGGGAAACCAGUCGACUGGGUAUCUACUGACGCUGAGGUGCGAGAGCGUGGGGAGCGAACCGG
rnacentral:rRNA from 1 species